rnacentral:rRNA from 1 species
UACGUAGGGUGCAAGCGUUAAUCGGAAUUACUGGGCGUAAAGCGUGCGCAGGCGGUUUUGUAAGUUUGUUGUGAAAUCCCCGGGCUCAACCUGGGAAUGGCGAUGAAGACUGCAAGGCUAGAAUCUGGCAGAGGGGGGUAGAAUUCCACGUGUAGCAGUGAAAUGCGUAGAGAUGUGGAGGAAUACCGAUGGCGAAGGCAGCCCCCUGGGAUGACACUGACGCUCAUGCACGAAAGCGUGGGGAGCAAACAGG